rnacentral:rRNA from 1 species
AUUGAACGCUGGCGGUAUGCUUAACACAUGCAAGUCGAACGGCAGCACGGUCUAGCUUGCUAGAUGGGUGGCGAGUGGCGAACGGGUGAGUAACGCGUAGGAACAUACCUUAAAGAGGGGGAUAACUUGGGGAAACUCAAGCUAAUACCGCAUAAUGUCUGAGGACAAAAGCUGGGGACCUUCGGGCCUGGCGCUUUGAGAUUAGCCUGCGUACGAUUAGCUAGUUGGUGGGGUAAGGGCCUACCAAGGCGACGAUCGUUAGCUGGGCUGAGAGGAUGACCAGCCACACUGGAACUGAGACACGGUCCAGACUCCUACGGGAGGCAGCAGUGGGGAAUAUUGGACAAUGGGGGCAACCCUGAUCCAGCAAUACCGCGUGUGUGAAGAAGGCCUGAGGGUUGUAAAGCACUUUCAGUGGGGAGGAGGUUAAUUAGGUUAAGAGCUAGAUUAAUGGACGUUACCCACAGAAGAAGCACCGGCUAACUCCGUGCCAGCAGCCGCGGUAA